GGGGGUGCCCCGGUCCCGGUCGCGGUGCCUCGGGCGGGGCUGUCUCCGCCGUGUCCCGUGCUCUCCUGGCAGAGCCGGUUACGUGUUUAGGAGCCUCCCCACCUCCGCGGCCUCACAUCCGCUGCAAAUCAGAUGCCACAUCGUCGGGGUUUGAGUCUGCAGCGAUUGGGAGCAGGAGGAGGAUGCUUUGCCCUGCCACACCUCGGGGGUAAUCUCUCUGUCACUGCCUGGAGGGAUGAGCUCAAGCAUUAACCCUUGGGCUGCUGUUCUCUGUUCCCUCCCACCUGGCGUUCUGCAGCACCUUCCCCAUCACUGACAGGACUCACGGACAGCGGGGGGCACAUGGAGCAGCACCAGUGGCCAGAGGAUCCUGAUGUCCCCGGCAGAUCCAGCAGCAGCUCAGGUGGAGCAGCUGCCACUCUGAGUUUUAGCUCUGUGCAGGGGAGCUGUGUGCCCAUGCCCCGGAGGAUGGAGAGUGCCUGGCACCCUGCUGGCACCAGGGUGGUGGCCAGGGCACUGGGAGAACUGGCCUGGCCGUGUCCCCACUGGCUGCCCUCGUCUGGGUAUUUUUAGAAGCAAAAUGUUGUUCAGUGGCGAGAAGGAGAAGGGAGGGGAAGCUGGGUGGCAGCGAUAGGGCAGCUCCUUCCGCGGGCAGUGCCCGUGCAGCUCCAGCCCCGGGUCAGACCCCUCUGAGAGCCAGCACCAGGACCCAUCCCAACCCCAUCCCACUGGGAGCCUCUGCUGGCUCCAGAGCUCACUCCUGAGCCUCCCCACACUGGGGAUCCUCACUGCUGCCAGUGCCCCCACCCCAUCCAGCCCCCCAGAGCCCAGCUGAGCUGCACCCACCCUGGCAGGGGCUGGGAGGGCUGGCGGGGGCCAGUGUUCCUUGAGCUCCAGCUCCCAGGCGCCAGCAGCUGUUUUUAGCCCAGAGAAAGUCCAAUGUUUUGAGAUUUUCUAUUUUGAGCAGCAGAGCUGAAGAAG